rnacentral:rRNA from 1 species
AUUGAACGCUGGCGGCAUGCUUUACACAUGCAAGUCGAACGGUAACAGGGUGCUUGCACCGCUGACGAGUGGCGAACGGGUGAGUAAUGCGUCGGAACGUGCCGAGUAGUGGGGGAUGACGCAGCGAAAGUUGUGCUAAUACCGCAUACGUACUGAGGUAGAAAGUGGGGGACCUUCGGGCCUCACGCUAUUCGAGCGGCCGACGUCUGAUUAGCUAGUAGGUGAGGUAAAGGCGCACCUAGGCGACGAUCAGUAGCGGGUCUGAGAGGAUGAUAGGCUACACUGGGACUACGACGCGGCCCAGACACCUACGGUAGGCAGCAGUGGGUAUGUUUGGACAAUGGUGGCAACGCUGAUCCAGCCAUUCCGCGUGGGUGAAGAAGGCCUUCGGGUUGUAAAGCUCUUUCGGCAGGAACGAAACGGCGAGCUCUAACAUAGCUUGCUAAUGACGGUACCUGAAGAAGAAGCACCGGCUAACUACGUGCCAGCAGCCGCAGUAACAC